GAUCUAUAGAGCGCACUUAGGGUGAGAUCUAUAGUCCGCACUUGGACUUUACUCUGACUUAACUAUCGAGCUAAGACACAGUCGGUAUUUAUAGAGCAAACUGCGAAUCCCUCCCUAGUGUUGGCUUAGCUUAAUCUCAAGUCCACGAAAUCGACGACUUACCAAAAACUUUGACUAUAAGCCUAACAAAAAUAAUGGCCUAAAAUUUGCUCUACCAUCAUAUCUUUUACUGGACUUUUUAUUUUUGUCGGUUUUUAAUGAACGGUGUUGCCAUUUGGUAUCAGAGUUCCAUAGACUUUGGGAAAAAUAGAAUUUGAAUUCAAAGAAAUUUUAAAUGAUCUUGAUAAAUACCUAUGAAAUGCAUGAAAUAAAAUAAUUACACAUUAUUAUGGUAUCUAUUGUUGUUUAUUUACAUUAUUUAUAUAAGUGUUCAACCCCAUUUUUGAGAGAUCUUAUAAAUAACUGGUGUGAUAUCGUAUCUGUCAUCUGGCAGCACUGACAUAUGUUGACAACAAAAUUCAAACUACAUAAUAUAAGCAAACCAACUUCGUCUCUACUCUCUCGCUAAUCGCUUCACAUCCGUUGACCGUUAUUUUCGAUUACCUGAAUCUUCUACCUUUUAUUACCUGACGACCUUGCUUGCUCAACGGAUUUUGUACCUGCUUAAACGACUGACCACGGCUAUUCUCACUCGGACCGGACUCGCUCACAAAAAAUGGAUAAAAAAAAACAGAAGCCUUACUCGGAAUAUGAGAGGCAACUGCUUGUACAGUUGGUUCAGUCAAAGAUUGGCAUUCUAGAGAACAGGAAGACGGACGCCGUUUCCCAAAAAAAGAAACACGAGGCUUGGGAAGAAUUAGCAAUAGAAUUUAAUAACUCUAACGUGUCACAUACUUACAAUUUUUUUUCGAUUUUAGGCUGAUUCUAAACAAUUAAAAAAGAUGUGGCAAAAUAUGAAGGCAAAAGCUAGGGAUGCCAAAACCCUUGAAGCCCAAAGGAAGAGGACAGGAGGAGGACCAGCACCGCCUGAAAUGGGGCCAAUGGACACUCAAGUGAUUGCAGUCAUGCCACAAAUAAUGCCAUCAAUAGAUGUGCCAAUAGACUGUGACACAUUAACUACAGUAGAAGCUGGUACUGGUUAUGACAACGACGGUGAAAGCUGGAGACCAAAGAGGGCAAGAGUGUCCAGUAUAGAGGCCACACUUGAAUCUGUAAUUCAGCCGGGAACAAGCCAGGACUGGACUGAUGAAGCUGGGUUAACGGAAACCAGUGUUGAGGUCACCACUAAAAGUGAACCCUCUCAGCUAUCAGCUACACCAUCAGCGAUCAGAAAAAAUAAAACUUCAUUUGAGGAUAUUAAAAAAAAAUUGCUGUGGCAAGAGUUAGACAACAACAAAAAAAAAUUUGAGAUAGAAGUGGAACACAUGAAACUAAAAAAUCAGUUAGAAAUCGAAUUUCUUCGACAUAAAUAUAAAUUAGAACUAGAAAUUUUACAGUUUAAAAAAGAAUCUGAAAAUAAAUGAUUAAAAUGAAACAA